rnacentral:lncRNA from 1 species
AAAAAAAAAAAAAAAAAAAAGAGUGCUUCCACAUUAAAUCAAGAAAGACACACACACAAGUGAACUGGAAGAGUAUCACACCCUCUUAGGCCUCAAUGUCCACAACAUCACUGGCCACAGCUUUUAGUUUCAGGAGAAGCCCUGGAGGCUCUCACCUCCCACUUCAGGCUGCCCAAAGUCACAGAGCCUGUGACUCCAGGACUCAUCUUUCUACAAACGCUUUGGUUGGCCAGCGCUUCCUUUUACCGUCAGCCGCCCCUGCCCGGGACACUUGCAGAUCAGGGGACUUUGUGGGUCUCAUUGAGGCUGUAUUUGCGGAUUCAAUUACGCAUUUUUAAUUCCGCAAAUAUUUGCCACUGCUGCCUGACCUGGAGCCUGUGUGGCCAGAUCCUUUGAUCGAAAGCCGUCUGCCUGUGGAUCAGACCCUGUGGUGAGUGGUGACAGCCCAGGGGUGGGGAGGCAGAUCACCCUGCUGGGUUGCUGGGGAAGGCUGUGUGGAGGCCAUAGGGUCUGAGCAAUAUACUAAGACCUAGUUAAAGAUUUGCAGCGAGAGAAUCCAUGAAACAUGAAACACGGAGGCUGUGGGGGGUCGAGUUAGGACUCUGGAUGGCCACAUCCUGACCCCCAGAACAUGCAACCACCGCCUUGUAUGGAAAGGGGGCUUUGCGGAUGUGAUAGGGCUGAGGCUCCUGAGAUGGGUGAUUUUCUUGGAUGAUCCUGGCGGGCCAAUGAAAUCACAGGGUCCUUCUGAGAGGGAGGGAGGACAGCAGAGAGGGGAAGGUGAUGUGGCCACAGAGCCAGAGAUGACGGAAGGGGCUGCCAGCCCAGGGGUCCAGGUACCACCGGAAGAAGGAAAGACAGAGACAUGGGGUCUCCCCAUGCCCAGCCCUGCAGAGACCCUGAAUUCAGCGCAGGGGUACUGAUUUGGGGGUUAUGGCCUCCAGAACUGUGAGAGAAUAAGUCUCCGUUGUCUUAUGCCACCGAGUGUGCGGUACGUGUUAUGGCAGCCACAUAGCAGGUGUGAGGAAGCUGGAGAAGGGACUGAAGAUGGGGUGCAGCUGGGACCACCCUGCUGGGCUAAGGCCAGUUCUGGAAAGAGACUGAACAGCUCUCCCUCAGGAGCAGUGAGGGAGGAACCCGUGAGUCAGUGGAGGGUGGGAGGAAACGUGGGAGGAGCCUCCGACAUCCUAGAAACGCGGGGGUACCAAAGCCAGCACCGGCCUGCGGGGGGAAAGCCGGCCUCUUACGCCCUGGAAGAGGAAACUCACAGAGAUCCCCACAACGACACCCAGCUGUGCAGGAGGCCCACGUCCUGUCUCAUUUCAUUUUCUCCUCUCGGUGAACAAAAAGAGAAGAAAAUGACAGGAGCAGAAGGUCAAAGGGAAGCAUCGAGAGAAAGAGGAUGAAUUGACACCUGUGGCUAAUUGAAGUGAAAUCAGAUCACAGAGGCCAUGAGACCCACGUCCAGAGGGCCCUAGGAGGGAGCUGUGGGCUCAGCUGGUUGAUUUACUCUGGCUUGGGUCGCUGCUACUGCUUUGAGGACAAUAAGCUUGGCCAUCACCAGACACCAGAGGAUGCUGAAGGGACAGCCGGCUAGACUAUUUCAUGGACUCUCUGAGCAUGUCCUAUUGCAGUCCAGGUACAAACUUUUCCUCCAGAAAUAGACAGAGGGAUGCUGCUUCCCAAUUUCAGCAAAGGCAGUGGAAAGAUCCCGGUCAAAAGUAGAAACUCUGGGUCCAGGCCUUCCAGCUGACACUCACUCUGAUAUGGUUUGGCUGUGUUCCCACCCAAAUCUCAACUUGAAUUGUAUCUCUCAGAAUUCCCACGAGUUGUAGGAGGGAUCCAGGUGGAGGUAAUUGAAUCAUGGGGUGGGUCUUUCCCAUGCUAUUCUCGUGAUAGUGAAUAAGUCUCACCA